UAUUAUAGUCCCUCGAGGGAUCAAUUCACUAUUCUACGAACGUCAGAUCCUAAAGCAUUUUUUUGGAUCCUUCACAGAUGUCGUACCUCACAAAUACUCCAAAAUUUUCAAAGAUUGACCGAGAUUUGUUCUUUUGUGAUCCAACGUUCAUCAAUCACCAAGGAAUGGGUCCUCGGUAAUGUGUGGAAGUGCCCCAAGGUGUAGAUGGUAUUAUAUGCUGUGCACAGGGGACAGAUCACAGAUGCUUGAAUAUAUUCAAUACAGACGAAAUGAAAAUAGAAUAUAGCCAGUACAUGCCAUCUGGUUCUGCUUUGACCCCCUAGAAAAGGUAUAUUCCUCAAAGAACUUAUCUCUCACUACAUAAUUUCAACAAAUGAACAGACGCCAAUUUAAACUGGAGGAUCUUAAGGUACAAAACUAAACAAAACCAAAAA